GACAGAGGGUGCAACCGUUGUUCGGAAUUACUGGGCGUAAAGCGCGGGUAGGUGGCGCGUCAAGUCGGGUGUGAAAGCCCUGGGCUCAACCCAGGAAGUGCACUCGAUACUGCCUAGCUAGAGUCCCGGAGAGGUUGGUGGAACUCUCGGUGUAGAGGUGAAAUUCGUAGAUAUCGAGAAGAACACCGGUGGCGAAGGCGGCCAACUGGACGGUGACUGACACUGAGACGCGAAAGCGUGGGGAGCAAACAGG
rnacentral:rRNA from 1 species